CAGCAGCAGCCGCGGUAAAACGAAGGGUGCAAGCGUUACUCGGAAUUACUGGGCGUAAAGCGUGCGUAGGUGGUGGUUUAAGUCCGUUGUGAAAGCCCUGGGCUCAACCUGGGAAUUGCAGUGGAUACUGGGUCACUAGAGUGUGGUAGAGGAUAGUGGAAUUUCCGGUGUAGCAGUGAAAUGCGUAGAGAUCGGAAGGAACAUCUGUGGCGAAGGCGACUAUCUGGGCCAACACUGACACUGAGGCACGAAAGCGUGGGGAGCAAACAGGAUUAGAUACCCGUGUAGUCCCUGUCUCUUAUAC
rnacentral:rRNA from 1 species